UGGCGGACGGGUGAGUAAUGUCUGGGAAACUGCCCGAUGGAGGGGGAUAACUACUGGAAACGGUAGCUAAUACCGCAUAACGUCGCAAGACCAAAGAGGGGGACCUUCGGGCCUCGCGCCAUCAGAUGAACCCAUAUGGGAUUAGCUAGUAGGUAAGGUAACGGCUUACCUAGGCGACGAUCCCUAGCUGGUCUGAGAGGAUGAUCAGCCACACUGGGACUGAGACACGGCCCAG
rnacentral:rRNA from 1 species